AGCUCCAGCAGGAACUGCCACAGCUGGAUCUGUCCGCUGCCUGCAAGGCCGAGCCCCAGAGAGGUUAAAGCUCCCUCCCAGGGCACAAGAUGCAGAAGAUGGUAACAAGGUUAUGUCUCCUUUGCAGCACCCCUACUCCAUCCUGCCCCUCAGCCCCAAGAAGGAGAUGUCUUGGAAGCACUCAGACUUAACCCAGCACAAAUAUUCCCCACUGCCACAUCUGCUUGAAACUGGG